CUGUUGAUUGUACUUGAGAAACAAUUAAUAUCACUUCGGGGGGGGGGGGGGGGGGAAUUAAGACAAAGAAAGCCCAACGAAGCAACUAUAGUUUCAAUGAAGCAUUCCUUACAGCUAAGACUCCUACUUACAUAGCCACCAUUCAAUCAUUAUAUCUAACAAAAUAAUGUUGAAAAAGCAUUUCUCGCCUCUCAAAAUAUAACAACCCACUCAGCCUGGCACAUUCCACUUCGUAUCAAAAUGUUAUCAGAUGUUCCACGAUAGAACACAGUAUGAAUUUGCGGUUAACUUCCAUAUCAAACAGCUUAGUUCACAAUGAAAAAGAAUAAAAUGCUGAAAUAUAACUCAUUCUGAAACUGAAUUGACGACCAGUAAGUUGCAACUCAUCACCAUAUAAACUCCUUGUCCAAAUAUGCGUCUACAAAAUUUCCCAACACAACUAUUCUCUCAAGACUUAGAACAGAUACAACAUUGUAUAUAUAGCAUUUAAAUAUGUAAGAUCCUUGCAGUAUN
rnacentral:lncRNA from 1 species